rnacentral:rRNA from 1 species
AAGGAUAAGAGUUUGAUCCUGGCUCAGGACGAACGCUGGCGGCGUGCCUAACACAUGCAAGUUGAGCGGAGAUAUGGAGAGCUUGCUCUUUAUAUUUUAGCAGCGAACGGGUGAGUAACACGUAGAUAAUUUAUCCUAUAUUGGGGGAUAGGCCGAUGAAAAUUGGAUUAAUACCGCAUACAGCUAUUUAACCGCAUGGGGAGAUAGUGAAAGGGGAGACUUGAUAUAGGAGGAGUCUGCGGCACAUUAGCUAGUAGGUGAGGUAAGAGCUCACCUAGGCGACGAUGUGUAGCCGGUCUGAGAGGAUGAACGGCCACAAUGGAACUGAGAUACGGUCCAUACUCCUACGGGAGGCAGCAGUUGGGAAUAUUGCACAAUGGGGGAAACCCUGAUGCAGCAACGCCGCGUGAGUGAAGAAGGUUUUCGGAUUGUAAAGCUCUGUUAGCAGGGAAGAGGAAGGACGGUACCUGCAGAGGAAGCCACGGCUAACUACGUGCCAGCAGCCGCGGUAAUACGUAGGUGGCAAGCGUUGUUCGGAAUAACUGGGCGUAAAGGAUGCGUAGGCGGUUGAGUAAGUUAUGUGUUAAAUAUAUAGGCUUAACCUGUAGAAAGCACAUAAAACUGUUUAACUAGAGUGCAGGAGAGGUAAGUGGAAUUCCUAGUGUAGCGGUGAAAUGCGUAGAUAUUAGGAAGAACACCAGUGGCGAAGGCGACUUACUGGACUGUAACUGAC